UAAUAGCACAUGCUGAAUGACACCUAUAGAUGUUCCAAGGCCAACCUCAAAAGGCCAAACAGUGGGUGGUGACCCAGUUCCUGGAAACUCUCACUCCUGCUCCAAGAUAGCUAGACUAUUUCCCCCACUCAUUACCCUAUAAACUUACCCAUAAAAAUUAACCACCCUAUAUUUCAGGACCACUCUAACCUUCUGAGACAGACCACACUCUGUCUAUGGAAUGUGUAUCUCUCUAAACAAACUUGCUUUCACUUUCCUAUGGCUUGCUCUCAAAUUCUUUUCUGCAUCAAGUCAAGGACCCUCACUUGGCAACCCCUCCCAAGAACUGGCCAGAGAUGUGGGACAUGAUCAUUCUCUUGCACCCUGUUUUCCUGCAACAUCAGCAUCAGAUUAUUAUAAAGACUCAUAUUUAGUUCCUUGUCAGAACACUUCAAGGACUUGAGUAUGGUCCUCCUAUGUUGUACAUCUCUGUUGCUAGUAAAUGUACUUGAGCUAAAAACAGUCUGAACCAAUCAGCAUGCUCUCUGAUUAAAAAAAAAAAGAAAAGUUUUCUAUUUUCAGUUUUGUUGAGAUGUGAAAGAAGAAAUUCAGUGCUCUUGUUUAAUGGAUGAGAAGGUCUUCACUUCGGUAUUUCCAAAUCAAGCAAGUAUUAUCACCUCUUGGGAGAAACAGCAGGGUUAAUUUACCUACUUGGAUUUGAAUACUAGAGUGGAAAUUAGGCUGGUAUUUGCCUGGCUUAAAGAAUGAGACUGGAAAAGCAGUAUCAGUACAAAGCCUCGUGGUUUGUAUCGUGUUAAUCUUUCUUUCAGUACCAGCUAAGUAAUUUCUGUUUCAAAGAAAAGGCAGCGGCUUCUCUACCAGGAUAGCACCUCAGGUUGCACGGCGCUUUAAGAGUUCAGAUGCUCGACAGUAUGAUCUCAAUAUCUGAAUUCAUUUGAAUAGGAAGAAUGGUUAAAUAUGGACUCUUCACACAUUAUUUCAAAAGGCAAGGCCUUAUUAUUGCUAGCCCACAUGUCACUGGCUGCUGAAUGACACCGUGCACCGCAUUUCCUGGAAAUAAAAGGAGAGCUCCUUUGUUGUAAAUUCAUGCAUACGCUCUUGGGAAAUGAGGACAUACAGCAGAUGUAAAUCAGCUUUUAAUCCAGGUCCCAGUGUGGACAGUAUAGAAGAGAGCAGUGGUGGGAGUCAGGAGAAAAGAGAAUCCUAACUCGUGCCAAAGAAGAGAAGAGAAUAUCCUGUUUGUUUGUUUUUUGUUUUUUUUUUUUUAAAUCAGGUUGGAUCACUUAUACGUACACUCAGACACUAGUUUCUCUCUAUAUUGUUGAAUGCUCUCUUUAUUUCUUAAUUACUGGAGUUGAAGUGAAGCUUGACCCUAGUUAGAGAAAUCUCCAGCAGGACCUUCCUGGUCUAAAACACUAGGACCUCAUUUCACAGAGGGGCCUCCAAUAGGCACAGGAUUCCUGCAGGGCAAGACACUUGGAAGGCUGUGGAAGAACUGCUCUUAGAUGCCCCCAGAAGCCCCUCAGGGCAUAGUGCAUCCAGAGGUACCCAAUUCCCAGCAGGCUAGAGAUUCUUUGGGACUGGGUGGUGAGGCUUGCACCCUUAUCCUGUGCACCUCAUGUGCGUGCGCAAUCAUCUCCAACUCUUUGUGACCCCACGGACUGCAGUCCACCAGGCUCCUCUGUCCAUGGAAUUUUCCCGGCAAGAAUACUGGAGUGGCUUCCCAUUUCUUUCUCCAGGGGAUCUUCUUGACUCAUGGAUAGAACCCAUGUCUCCUACAUUGGCUGGUGGAUUCUUUACCACUCUGCUACCUGGGAAGCCCUCCUGUGUACCUUGGGUAUCCUCUAUUCCCCUUCUCAAGCUGCCUCUGCACAAGUUUGUUUCCGCAUGAGCCGCUCACGGGCCAGGUAAGGUGGAGAUAGUGAUGCUUUACUGCUUCUGUUCAGCUGCUUGCUAGAUAGUGGGUCUCCCAUGCAGUGCUGAUGGAUUUUCAAUGCCAUUCUAUUAGCCUGAUCACAGUAUAAUUCUACUUGGAUGCAAAAUUAGCAGCAGAAUCAUAUUUUACCUCUAGCUUCUAAUUGGCAAGAGUCACAUGCUUUUAUUAAACUAUUCCAAUCAAGGCUUCACAGCAUCAUACAUUCUGCUUAUCACUGGGCCCACCUGCAGCCAGCUCUCCUGCUCGCCUCUUAUCAGCAAAGCCAAUUACUUUCUCCUGUGCUUGCUUUGUGGUUUUGCUUAUAGACUCACCACACCUCCACAACUAAGCCUCUGGGGUAUUAGGUAAAUCCUAUUCCUGAUGAUCCUCCCUCCCAACCCUGCACAAGUUACUACCUUGAGGUGGUCUGUGAGUUCCGGUCUGUCUUCUUUUCUGCAGCCAAGAGUUUAGCAAGUAUUUUUUGAAGCAGUCAAGUAGACAUUGCACUAAGAAGCUUUGGAGGAAUGCAAAGCUGAAUAAAGUCGCGUGUGACUUGGAGGAGUUAAUUCAGCAAAUAAGAUCAGAAGAAGCCAAGUCAAAACCAGAUCUAAGUAAGGACAGAAACUUAUGAACCAGGCACUCAACUGACAAAUCUCAAAUAUACUGCAACAGAAGAGAAUAACUCCUUCCAGCAAUAAAAUCCUACAAUUAAUUUAU